rnacentral:rRNA from 1 species
GAGUUUGAUCAUGGCUCAGGAUGAACGCUAGCGGCAGGCUUAACACAUGCAAGUCGAGGGGUAUAGUUCUUCGGAACUAGAGACCGGCGCACGGGUGCGUAACGCGUAUGCAAUCUACCUUUUACAGAGGGAUAGCCCAGAGAAAUUUGGAUUAAUACCUCAUAGUAUUACGACCUGGCAUCAGGAUGUAAUUAAAGUCACAACGGUAAAAGAUGAGCAUGCGUCCCAUUAGCUAGUUGGUAAGGUAACGGCUUACCAAGGCAACGAUGGGUAGGGGUCCUGAGAGGGAGAUCCCCCACACUGGUACUGAGACACGGACCAGACUCCUACGGGAGGCAGCAGUGAGGAAUAUUGGACAAUGGGCGCAAGCCUGAUCCAGCCAUGCCGCGUGCAGGAUGACGGUCCUAUGGAUUGUAAACUGCUUUUGCACAGGAAGAAACACUCGGACGUGUCCGAGCUUGACGGUACUGUGAGAAUAAGGAUCG